AGUAAAUAAAUAAAUAAUAUAUAAAUAAUAAUUAUUGUGGUAAAUAAUGUUGUGUUUCAUAAAUUAUUAUCGUGUUUAGUUUGUGGUUAAAUUUUCGAAAUGUAAAUAUACAUAAGUACUUGUAAACUGAUCAGCUGAUCAGCUGAUUAUUUUAGUGUGCGUACAAAUUUUGGAAAACUCGAUGGGAUCUAGGGCAUCUUGAGCUAUUCAAGAAGAAUUUUUACGUUCCCAGUGACACAGUUUCAAAUCGCAACCCACGUUUUAUCAAGCAAUAUAGAAGCGAAAAGGAGAUAAAUCUUCGUGGAAUAUUAUACCUAAUCCAUUUUUUUUUCAUUUUUGAAGAGGCCGGAUUUCUGAAUUACGUUAUAAAAUAAGUUGCAGAUGACGUUAGUCACACAUCUUGUAUAUGGAAUACUUGUUUGUACGGCAGAGCACCGAAAAGUUCACAGGCCAGAGAUCCUACAGCGGAGUGGAGAUUGUCAUCGCUACUCCAGGAAGAUUGCUAGAUUUUCCUGGAGUUUAUUAGAUUGUAACAAAACGUAGAGUAGAUAAAAUAACGAGAAAAAUGAAACGUAAGGAAUGGUCAACUGUAUGCUUUCAUGGUUAUAAAACUCCACAAGAACGUAAUUGGGUAUUACAAGAUAUUCGAUCUGAUAAGGCUCCAUUUAUUGUAGCAAUUGACGUAGCAGCUCGUGAACUAGGAAACAAUGAAGGAGGCAACAGAGGCACAUUCAUCAUUAAAGAUAAAAUGUACUGGGAG